GGAUGGGUGCCGGAGUGGUUGAACGGGACAGUCUCGAAAACUGUUGAACCUGUAUGGGUUCCGUGGGUUCGAAUCCCACUCCAUCCGCCA
rnacentral:tRNA from 1 species